rnacentral:tRNA from 1 species
GGGGGUAUAGCUCAGCUGGCUAGAGCACCUGCUUUGCAAGCAGGGGGUCAUCGGUUCGACUCCGAUUACCUCCA